rnacentral:rRNA from 1 species
UACGUAGGUGACCAGCGUUGGCCGGAUUUACUGGGCGUAAAGAGCGCGCAGGCGGUCGUUCAAGUCGAGUGUGAAAGCCCCCGGCUCAACUGGGGAGGGUCACUCGAUACUGAUCGACUUGAAGGCAGGAGAGGGAAGCGGAAUUCCCGGUGUAGUGGUGAAAUGCGUAGAUAUCGGGAGGAACACCAGUGGCGAAGGCGGCUUCCUGGACUGUUCUUGACGCUGAGGCGCGAAAGCUAGGGGAGCAAACGGG